rnacentral:rRNA from 1 species
AUUGAACGCUGGCGGCAUGCCUUACACAUGCAAGUCGAACGGUAACAGGUCUUCGGAUGCUGACGAGUGGCGAACGGGUGAGUAAUACAUCGGAACGUGCCUAGUAGUGGGGGAUAACUACACGAAAGAGUGGCUAAUACCGCAUGAGAUCUACGGAUGAAAGCAGGGGAUCGCAAGACCUUGUGCUACUAGAGCGGCCGAUGGCAGAUUAGGUAGUUGGUGGGAUAAAAGCUUACCAAGCCGACGAUCUGUAGCUGGUCUGAGAGGACGAUCAGCCACACUGGGACUGAGACACGGCCCAGGCUCCUACGGGAGGCAGCAGUGGGGAAUUUUGGACAAUGGGCGCAAGCCUGAUCCAGCAAUGCCGCGUGCAGGAUGAAGGCCUUCGGGUUGUAAACUGCUUUUGUACGGAACGAAAAGCCCUGGGUUAAUACCCUGGGGUCAUGACGGUACCGUAAGAAUAAGCACCGGCUAACUACGUGCCAGCCGCCGCAGUAAAAC